UCAAUCCACCAUCUUCUGCCAGUGAACUUGUCUUUGGGUUUUUGUUUGGGUGGGGGGGGGUGUUGUUGUUGUUGAGUGUGUGCUUUUUUUUUGAAGGGGGGAGGGGAAACAAGGUGGAGGCUGGAAAUGGGGGAAGUAGGGAGAAUGCUGUGUGUGUGUGUGUGUGUGUGUGUGUAAGUGUGCCUUAAGUGUGAGUGUGUAUGUGUGAGUGUGUGUAGGGGUCAGGAUGGGUGGCUGCAAGGAGUGUGGGGGGGGGGCCGUGUUUGCGAUCUGAACCUUUGGUACCUACAAGGAGGGUGUCUCACGGAACGGUGGCUAAGACCUCACCAGAACCGCAGGGAAGUGAGGAAUCACGGUCAAAGGCACACACAGGAGCCUCCUCUUUGGGCCGGACACCAGCCCAAGCAGCCGAAAGGAGCCCCCCCCCCCCCCCGCACGGAUCACAGCGGCUCCUAGCCCGGAAGGCGCACUUGAUGUGGGAAGAGGCGAAGAAGGUGAAGUUCGUUUGUGGACAUGGAACCCCUUUGAGGGGGUGGGGUGGAAUGCAGAAUAAAUCAGUUCUCACAACC